rnacentral:rRNA from 1 species
UACGAAGGGGGCUAGCGUUGCUCGGAAUCACUGGGCGUAAAGGGUGCGUAGGCGGGUCUUUAAGUCAGGGGUGAAAUCCUGGAGCUCAACUCCAGAACUGCCUUUGAUACUGGAGAGCUUGAGUCCGGGAGAGGUGAGUGGAACUGCGAGUGUAGAGGUGAAAUUCGUAGAUAUUCGAAAGAACACCAGUGGCGAAGGCGGCUCACUGGACUGGUAUUGACGCUGAGGUGCGAAAGCGUGGGGAGCAAACAGG